rnacentral:lncRNA from 1 species
AAAUAAGUAAAUCUUUUUUAUGAGAAAAAACAACUUAUUCCCAGCCAAACACAGUCAAACCAAACUAGUCGCGACAGAAACCAUUUAAGACCCCAAACGAAAAAGACUUCACUAAACAAAACUCAAAAAACUCUGAAUCCCUCCCUGUAAGAUCUCGUCUUCUUCAAUAAUCCGCUGACAAAGAACCAUAGAUUGGGCUAAACUAACCUACUCCACCACCUAGAACCACCGCCCGCCACCACCUAUAUGCUAAUUCCACCGUCACUUUCCGCGUCCCCGAUUGCAAAACGUCUCAUUUCAAUUAUUUCUUUCGAUUUUGGGGUUGAUGUUCUCCAUCUGUAAAUCCAAGAAGAAAAUGACCGCAGAAGUCAUUGAACACUCAACCAGACCAAAAUCAUCAUCACCGAGAAAAUCCAAGAAAUCCCAACAAUCUUCAAUAGAAAACUCAUCAACCAGCACCAACAAUUUCAUGAUCCCAAGCACAGCAUCCACCUCGAGCUUCUAUAAAGAUUCAUGGCAAUCCUCGUUAUCUAGCCGUACUUCUCUUUCAAGCCUCCGAGAAUCCGUCCUCGCAGAACAGCCCCACAUCUAUGAUUUUUCGGAAAUUUCCGCCGCAACUCGCAAUUUCUUACUAAAGCCGUCCACUUCAUCCUCCUCGUCCACUUCUUGGCGGUGCAGUGUGCGCAAUCAGGAUGUAAUUGUUUUCCAGCGGAAGUUCCGGCGCCAAUUGGACACCCAGCAGUUAAUAGGUCAUCUUUCUGUUAUUUGCAAGAGUCAUCACUCCAGUUUGGUGAGAUUAAAAGGGGUUUCAAUUUCCGGCAAUUAUAUAUACUUGGUUUAUGAUUAUAUUUCUGGGGCUAGUCUUGCUGAUUGUUUGAGAAAUGUGAAAAACCCAAAUUUUACUGUGUUGUCUAGCUGGAUCUCGCGUAUUCAGAUUGCUUCUGAUGUUGCUCAUGGCCUUGACUAUGUUCAUAAUUCGACUGGAUUGGGUUUUGAGUUUGUGCACAAUCAUAUAAAGAGUAGUAGUGUUAUUGUUACAGAGACGUCCUUAAAUGCGAAAAUAUGCCAUUUUGGUACUGCUGAGCUUUGUGGUGAAAUUGUGAGAGAGACUGGGAAGUUGAAAGAGCUGAAGAGAUCAGAUAGUAAGAUGAACAAGUUCGAGGGGACUAGGGGUUACAUGGCGCCAGAAUUUCAGAUAAGUGGGAUUGCAACGCAGAAAUGUGAUGUGUAUGCAUUUGGGGUUGUGGUUCUGGAGUUAUUGUCCGGGAUGGAGGCAUUGAGUUAUAGGGUUGAUGAGGAAACUGGAGCUUAUGUGAGGACAUCGGUGGUAGAGGUGGCUAGACAGGCGGCGGAGAGUGGUUAUGGAGGGAUAAGGAAGUGGGUCGACAGGAGGUUGAAGGACUCUUUCCCGGUGGAGGUGGUGGAGAAAUUGACGCGGCUGGCGCUGGAUUGUGUUGCGGAUGAUCCAGGAACCCGGCCAGAUAUGGGCCAGGUGGCUGGUCGAAUAUCACAAAUGUUUUUGGAAUCACAGAAAUGGGCUGAGAAGAUGGGCGUGCUUACAGAUUUAACGGUCUCUUUGGCACCCCGGUGACACCCAAUCGAAUGCUUUUGCAUUUCAUUCUUCUCCUUUUUUUGGCCUUUGGAUUUUGUAUGCAUGUACAUGUAUAGAUAUAGAUACACAUGUAGUUUACAAGAGCUUUCAUUCAUUUUCCAAGUUAUCAUUCUUUUCUCAAACAUCUAUGAAAAUUGAUUGUAUUAAAAUUUAACAAAACAUAUUAAUGAGAAGACAGCUUACAUGCUUUUGCUUUACCAUUGGUGAAGUCCUUUUGGUUCAAUACUAGUUUGAAGAUAUAUUAGUAUUCUGUUAAACAACUUCUUGGUCGUGUUUGAAUGUUUAAGGAAGAUAUGGUGAACGUUGAACUAUGCCCUCGAGGAUUUCUACUGGCCGAGCUAUGUUCAUGAAAGACCAAAUGGAAAGCAACUCUAAUACACACACUGUCAAAUUACCUGAGGUAAGUGAUGAUUCAAUGAACAUUUCUUCUGAAUUAUAAAUACCAUUUUAUGACCCCCUCUCCCACCCAUCCCCUCCCCUCUAUUUAUGUGUAAUGUUGGAAGAUUUAAGUUGAAAUCGGGUCUGGUGCAUUGAAUAACACAGAAACCAACUGCCUACAGGAUUUUACCCAACAUCAAAUGCAAGGUUAAAUAAGGUGGUAAAGAAAGAUUCAUUAUCUUGGGGAAUAUGGGUUUUGAAUUAGACGACCUAAAAUGGGGUGGUUUCAAAGGAGAGGCCGCCCUCCGGCGGGGAUGGGAAUACUGAUGGUUAGCAAAUAUGGUAAAAGAAAGUUAUUUUUUGACAUAUGUGAAUAACUUAUAUUUAUGAUGAUGUGUCGAUAACUUAUUUUCAUGGUGAUGUGAGUUUGUUGAAUGUACAUAUGAGAAAAGGUCAGGAGUUUGUAUUCAUAUUUGAGAGAAACAAAGGCAGGCAGUGUGUUCAAAGAAG